rnacentral:rRNA from 1 species
UACGGAAUGUGCAACCGUUAUUCGGAAUCACUGGGCUUAAAGAGUCCGUAGGCGGCAUGUUAGGUGGGGUGUGAAAUCCCCCGGCUCAACCGAGGAAUUGCGCUUCAAACCGGCGUGCUUGAGGAAGAUAGAGGUGGGCGGAACUGAUGGUGGAGCGGUGAAAUGCGUUGAUAUCAGGAGGAACACCGGUGGCGAAGGCGGGUCUCUGGGCCGAUACUGACGCUGAGGAGCGAAAGCGUGGGGAGCGAACAGG